rnacentral:rRNA from 1 species
GCGAGGCCGAAAGGCGUAGUCGAUGGGAAACAGGUUAAUAUUCCUGUACUUGGUGUUACUGCGAAGGGGGGACGGAGAAGGCUAUGUUGGCCGGGCGACGGUUGUCCCGGUUUAAGCGUGUAGGCUGGUUUUCCAGGCAAAUCCGGAAAAUCAAGGCUGAGGCGUGAUGACGAGGCACUACGGUGCUGAAGCAACAAAUGCCCUGCUUCCAGGAAAAGCCUCUAAGCAUCAGGUAACAUCAAAUCGUACCCCAAACCGACACAGGUGGUCAGGUAGAGAAUACCAAGGCGCUUGAGAGAACUCGGGUGAAGGAACUAGGCAAAAUGGUGCCGUAACUUCGGGAGAAGG